AUUGAACGCUGGCGGCAUGCCUUACACAUGCAAGUCGAACGGCAGCACGGGAGCUUGCUCCUGGUGGCGAGUGGCGAACGGGUGAGUAAUACAUCGGAACGUACCCUGAAGUGGGGGAUAACGUAGCGAAAGUUACGCUAAUACCGCAUAUUCUGUGAGCAGGAAAGAGGGGGAUCGCAAGACCUCUUGCUUUAGGAGCGGCCGAUGUCGGAUUAGCUAGUUGGUGAGGUAAAGGCUCACCAAGGCGACGAUCCGUAGCGGGUCUGAGAGGAUGAUCCGCCACACUGGGACUGAGACACGGCCCAGACUCCUACGGGAGGCAGCAGUGGGGAAUUUUGGACAAUGGGCGCAAGCCUGAUCCAGCCAUGCCGCGUGAGUGAAGAAGGCCUCGGUGU
rnacentral:rRNA from 1 species